rnacentral:tRNA from 1 species
GCCUUCGUGGUGGAAGGGUAGCACACUCGGCUCAUAUUCGAGAAGUCCAGGUUAGAGUCCGGGCGGGGGCA